rnacentral:rRNA from 1 species
AAUUCGCCCUUAGAGUUUGAUCAUGGCUCAGAUUGAACGCUGGCGGCAUGCCUUACACAUGCAAGUCGAACGGUAACAGGUCUUCGGACGCUGACGAGUGGCGAACGGGUGAGUAAUACAUCGGAACGUGCCCAGUCGUGGGGGAUAACUACUCGAAAGAGUAGCUAAUACCGCAUACGAUCUGAGGAUGAAAGCGGGGGACCUUCGGGCCUCGCGCGAUUGGAGCGGCCGAUGGCAGAUUAGGUAGUUGGUGGGAUAAAAGCUUACCAAGCCGACGAUCUGUAGCUGGUCUGAGGGGACGACCAGCCACACUGGGACUGAGACACGGCCCAGACUCCUACGGGAGGCAGCAGUGGGGAAUUUUGGACAAUGGGCGAAAGCCUGAUCCAGCAAUGCCGCGUGCAGGAUGAAGGCCUUCGGGUUGUAAACUGCUUUUGUACGGAACGAAAAAGCUUCUCCUA